rnacentral:misc_RNA from 1 species
AGCGUUGUUUUUCUAUCCAGAACCAUGACAACCCACAAAAUUAUGAAGGAAACUAAAGAUGAACCGAAAGUAGAAAUCGUCGAUGAAACAAAGCGAUGUUGCAAAGUUGUUUCUAUCUUGUCACAUGAGCCCGUAUUGGCGGUAGAUUGUUUGGGAGUUCAACUUGCGAGCAGAGGUCCAUUGACUCUUAUACAAGUUGGUACUUACAGCGAUCAGGUGUACUUGUUUGAUGUACACAAAAAUAAGAAGCUUCUUGUCGAUGGUAAACUGGGCACUUUAUUGGAAUCCGAAGCUGUUAUAAAGGUUGCACACAUUUUACUAGAAGAGCAGAAGGGUCGGUUACUUAUUCCAUUUUCGACACUGCGUACAAUGUGCAAACUAUAUUCCACUUGUGACAGGGUAUCAGAAUAUAAAGAGGAAAUUAAGACACAGUGUGACAAAAAAGUUGGUGAUUUUUGGGCGAAACGCCCUUUAACAGAUAAAAUGAUUUCCUAUGCAAUAGGAAACGUAAGCGCUUUGAUUCCAGAAGUGUAUGAAAAUCAGAAACGACUAUUGAAAAAAAGCGAAUUGGACUUAAAAUUUAAAGAUAGAGUAAUGGAGACCAUUUGCGUUCAUAUGGAUCCUGAAAAAAUGACACUUAGAACAAAGCAACGAGAAGAACGCAUUCAGGAAAUUAUAAAUUCAAUUGAUGUAAAUGGUAAUGCAGAUACUAAGAUCACGGACUUUGGAGAGGAAAGCGACGAGAUGUUAGCAUUCCGAAGACUUCAUAUUAAAGAUGCUCAACGAAAGUCUGAUUUUAUUGAUCGCUUAAAAGCUGAGAGUAUUGAAUAUGAUUUGAAAAAAAUUGGCGACAAAAUCAAAGAAGAGAAAAGUAAUUUUGUUCCAGAAAUUUUCACUUUUAAAUUUCUGUCUGAAACUCAGUCGCAUCAUCAUGAUGAAAAGAUAAUACAACAAGCAACGCGGCUUAAAUACCAAAUAAAAGAAAUUGUUUUUGCCGACAUUGAGACAAAAUAUUCAAUGGAAACAAGUCUUCAAUAUUUAACACCCUGGGAAAAAGAUGCAUUAAGAAAUCUGAAUGCGAAUAGGAUUUGUGAAUCUCCAAAGGUUCGUCGUCGUUUGUUUUUUCUUUUUACGGAGGCCGAUGUGGACAGAAAAAUCAAACAACUACAUAAAGAUGGAAACAAGUAUCGAUGUAAUGAAAAGUUUUACAGCAAGAUAAAAUUCAUUGCUACCAACGCAUCUGAUCUACCGGAAUCUUUGCGACAAAAGGCUAGAGACUUUGUACGUCAACACGACGCGCUUGGUAAAUAAAUUCAAAUCAAACGCGAUAGCGAAUUGUUAGUUUUUUAAGUAAACUUUUGACACUUUCAUUUUUCAAACUGAUAUUUGGUUUUGUGUCAAAAAUGUAAAUUGUCAUGGGUUUAUACUUGUUGGGUACGACAGAGAACCCUAAAAAGAAACAAAUAUUUAAGGUAACUAUGUAAUUUUGUUUUGCAUCUUAACUCCCCGGAAAGGGAUUUGCCACCCUUUAAUCUAAUAGAGACGAUUCCAAAUACUAGACAUAAAAUUUUGCUAGAAAUUGUGAUGGUGGUGUUAUUGAAAAUGUACGUAUUAUCAUAAUGUAUUUUAAGUCAAUUACAAUGCCUUUUGAUAUUUGUUCAUUGAAAAAUAAAAGAAUUCAGUUUG